rnacentral:misc_RNA from 1 species
CGCCGGCACUGGGGCUGGGCAGACCACACCUCCCGCAGUGCCGUUUUCCUCAUACCACGAAGCGUCACCCCCAACUUUGGUGCCUACCUCCAAUCAGAGCCUGGAAGCAGCAAGCUCAUCAGCCUUUUCUCACGCUGUGCGGACCCACGCCGCCCCCUCUUCUCAUUCACACGCACCGCGCACGGGUAUCGUCGACAGCAGCGGCUACCGCUACUCGACUCGAACAAAGGUGCCACAGCUGUUGCCACCAUCGCCACCUGCACCACCUCAGCAACCCCUGCAGCGGCGCUCGCCUUACGUGAACCACCAACGCACUUCCAACGUCACGGAGGCGGCGCCCACCACCACGACAGCGAUGCCGCUGCUGCCAGCGCCGCUGGACACCGCCUCUGCCUCUUCAUCUACGUCCCAGCAGGCUGCAACCCGCGCAACAGCAGCCGGUCCGGCUGCUGAUGUACCCACAGCCUCGCACACCUCCAGCACUGCCCACUGGCAGCUGACCUCUCCAGAAAGUCACAGGCAUCGCAGCGAUGUUCACUUGGUUCAGCGCGGUGCCGUCUUCGAGUACGCCUCCGAGGCGGUCACUACCCUCGAGCAGCAGUACGGCGAUGCCCUACAGCGCCUCAACACAAUGCACCGCCUCUACGAUCGGCUGGACGCACACAACCGCACCCUCGCGUCCGAGUUGAAGCGGGUGCGGCAGGUGAGUGACACCCUGCACAACGGUGUUGCGUUUCACCUGUACAACAGCGUGCGGCAAGUGAAGCACGAAAUGAAGCUGCUGAAGCAGUACGUUGAGCUUCUGAGCUCCAGCUUUAGCAAUCAGCUGCAUGUGCUGCAGCAAGCUGUCGUUGAAGAGCUGCCGCACUUGCUUGGGCGGCACGACCCGUACACGUCGCUGCUGCCGCACGGCGCGGAGGGGCGGCUCCAACCGAUUGAAACGCGAGUAUCGAUCGGCGCACCCAGCGGUAGGGCAUGCUCGCUGGAACGUGUCCCCAAAGCGCCCUCCCCAGUGCUCGGCCGACACGUCACCGGGGCUGGUGGCGACGUGGGCGCGGGCACGCAGUUCUACAGUCAAGAUUACUGGUGGAACGUCAUGUCACCGCAUCCGAUACGGUCGCCGUCCAGUGCACACACUCAGACAGCACCGGCAGAGAUGGAGGCUGGCGGCUGGGCUGGCGUCGUAAAUGGCCGCGAUAGAGGUACCACCGAGAGUGAGCGAGAUCUUUCGCCACCAGGCCAGCUGCCUCUCAGCAUUGAAGACAGCAUAGAGAACAAUCGCUUGAUCCAACCGUCAGGAGAGGCACUGGUGUCGCGCCGCGCCUACCGGGAGGUGCAGGAGGCCCUUGCAGAUGCCCAGCGGCGCGUCGUCGAGCUGGAGCAGACGUUCUCGAAUCAGCAAGCGGACUACGAGAACCGCGUUGCGCAGCUGAAGGCUGCCCAUCGAGCCAAGGUUGCGACGCUGAAGGAGGAACUCGCGCUGCAGCGUCGGCGAGCAGAACUGGCGCAGGAUGGUGAACCGCAGCAAACCGCACUCUCGACGGGGCUGCCGGGCCAAGCAGCCGGUCUCAUGUCGCCUUUGGAUGUCAAUCAGCUGGUGCAGCUGCUUCUUGAGCAUCAGUAUCAGCAGCCCACAGCGAAGCAGCGCCCCGGUGCCCCUUCGAAGACGUCUAGUCCUGCCUCGACGGUGCAGCCAACACGGCAAGCGCGCCACAAAGCCGUCCGAUCGCCUCUGCGAAAGUGGGAGGAUGGUGAUGAGAUUACAGGGCAGAAGGACAGCCAGCACGACAGCGAAGACACGUCCGCCACCACCGACUCCGACCGCGACUGUCGCCGCCGCGCUGCGCACCCGUGUGCCACUGAGUCCGCCUCCGCCUCGAACACAGACGACGGCAACGGUGAUGUACGCCCCUCCUUUGAUCGCAGAAAGCGGCGUGUGCUGCAGGCGAUUGCGAGCAAAGGCAGUGGCCGCCACCGCACAGGCGCUGAUGGUGAUCUUCACAUUCCAGACCGCUACUCGCCGACCGCAGCAGCCCGUCGCGUCGAGCGCGCUCGUGAGGUGCUUGGCUGCGAUGCGCGUGACGGCGAGAGGCGGCAGCAGAGCCAGCGAGCUCAUAGUAGCAGCAGCAGCGGAAACCGCCGCCAAAGAGAGAAGGUGGCGGCAACAGAGGCAGCCGGCGCCACCGCCACCGUGCGGCGCUCGCUCGGGUAUGAGCGGUGGAUGGAUCACUCGCGUGCUGCUUCGAGAAAUGCGGAAGGGUGCGCCUCCCAUACUGGCCGCUCCGCAGCGCGUAUGCGACCUCGCACGGUCAGCGGCGCGGACGCUCCCAGUGUGCCGACGCGCAGCUCCAGCCGCCGUUGGCAAAGCGCCGGUGGCGCUGCCCGAGACGCGCGACAUGACGCGGGAGCCGUCGGCGUGCAAGGCGGCUCACGGUGCGCGGCGCCGGCGCCUAAGCGCGUGCGGCCCGUGCAAAGCCAGCCCGACGCCAAGGUCGAUCGGGUGGCGCAGGGUAUUUGGGCGCAGGAGCUGCUCAAGGAGCGCAGCUGCCUAUAGCCAACUACAAGGACAGAGAUUGGAAACGGUGGAUGCCAUACCAGGCUGUGAUGCGAUGCACGGCAACAGUCCAAGGGUACACAUCGCCCCAUCCCCACCACCACCACCGCCCGCUUCCUCGGCCAUUGGUGUAUCGUUCAUCUGUCGCCCUCCCUCCAUCCCCUCUGCGCACGUGUGUGGGGGAGAGAGGAAUAGAGGAGCAACAGAUGCACGCUGAUGCGGGUAUCACUUGUUUUCCGUUGUCCGCUGUGUUUGUUUGCCUGGUGUUGUUGUCUGCUGAGCGGUUUCCUCGUGCACCACAACUGUCAUGAUAUUACUGUGUACGCGGAAAAAGAGAAACGGCUAAGGGGGGAGAAGGAGCUCAACAGCGAGACAGCGAGACAGCGCGUCCACCUCGCAUGCCGCCCUUCUCUCUCCGUCAGUCCAUUCGCCUACAGAACGCGACACUCGCAACUGCGGCGACUCACGAGGGGAGAGACGCACGUGAGACAAAACGAAAAGCGGGGCGAACUGCUCACACCUCUCGUUCUCUGACCUCCUCAUUCGGCGCACGCGGCUGCAGAUCAACGCACGUGAGCACAAAUGUACGCAUCCGCUGGUGCGGGUGCGAGGUGGCUGCUGCGAUGUGCGGUGGAAGGAGGAACGCUCCGCGGAAGCACGUGCAUCGGGGUCAGCAUUGCUUCGGGCGGAGGAUGAGGAGGACCACGCUCCCUCCCUCCCUCCUCAUUCAACCCCAAACCGCACACUACUCUGCUGGAUAGACAUGUCUUACUCUUUCACCUUUGUUCAUCUGCAUGCUGCACCUACUCCCACCCCGCCUUGCCUACUCGCGCACAG